GAAACGCGAUAGUUAAUGUGAAUUGCAGAAUUCAGUGAAUCAUCGAGUCUUUGAACGCACAUUGCGCCUUCCGGUAUUCCGGGAGGCACGUCUGUUUGAGCGUCAGCUAAACCCUUCCGGCCCCCAGCUUUUGUCUGAGGGUACGGGCAUGCUGGCGUCAGGGGACUGAGGCCGCCGCGCUCCGGCGUGGGCCGGGUCCUCCCCCGCUUAAACCUGUGGAAGCUAGCGGGCAUGGUCCCGGAUUGCGAACAACUCGUAUAACCUACCGUUGCCAGCAACCCAAACCUGCCCCGCCUUCAUCUUUUUGAGAAAGGGAAUUUUUUCCCCGGACCAAUUUUUAAUCUUGACCUCAAAUCAGACGAGGAUACCCGCUGAACUUAA
rnacentral:misc_RNA from 1 species